rnacentral:lncRNA from 1 species
GGAAGUCAGAAUGUCUGGGAGGUCCCGAAACUAACUCACUGAGUGACUUUGGGUUAAGAGCCACCUAGGUCUCUAAGAAGAUGCCACACAUUAUAAGACCGGUGUUCUUUCUCCUUUUGAUGUUCAGGAAAGUUGAAGAAGCUGGAGACCACGGAUGCCAAGUGAGGGCCUCAAGGGAGCACCAUAAAAGGACCACUGAAAAGAAAUGGAGAUGUUUAAUUUGGAUUAGAGAAGACUCAAGGGAGGGAUCAAGAAUUUAUCUGGAGGACUCAUAAAGAAGAGAAUCCUAGAAUUAUGUUAGAGCUGAAGAUCUUCAAAAUCUCCUAGAUCCAUAUUUCUCAUUUUUAGGUGAGAAAACUGAGGCC